UUCUAGCCCCGAUGGCAGCGGCAUCCUUUUGUUGCUUUCUUUAAGCGACAAAAGAUACAGCGAACAGCGGGAUCAAGC
rnacentral:sRNA from 1 species